UUGCUAGUAAUCGCGGAUCAGCAUGCCGCGGUGAAUACGUUCUCGGGCCUUGUACACACCGCCCGUCACACCAUGGGAGUCGGUAACACCCGAAGUCUGUAGCCUGACGCAAGAGGGCGCAGCCGAAGGUGGGAUUGAUGACUGGGGUGAAGUCGUAACAAGGUAGC
rnacentral:rRNA from 1 species